UACGAAGGGGGCUAGCGUUGUUCGGAAUCACUGGGCGUAAAGGGCGCGUAGGCGGCCGAUCAAGUCGGGGGGUGAAAGCCUGUGGCUCAACCACAGAAUUGCCUUCGAUACUGUUUGGCUUGAGACCGGAAGAGGUUAGUGGAACUGCGAGUGUAGAGGUGAAAUUCGUAGAUAUUCGCAAGAACACCAGUGGCGAAGGCGGCUGACUGGUCCGGUUCUGACGCUGAGGCGCGAAAGCGUGGGGAGCAAACAGG
rnacentral:rRNA from 1 species